rnacentral:rRNA from 1 species
UACGUAGGGUGCAAGCGUUGUCCGGAAUUAUUGGGCGUAAAGAGCGUGUAGGCGGCCCGAUUAGUCCGCUGUGAAAGUCCAGGGCUCAACCCUGGAAUGCCGGUGGAUACUGUCGGGCUAGAGUCCGGAAGGGGCGAGUGGAAUUCCUGGUGUAGCGGUGAAAUGCGUAGAUAUAUGGAGGAAUACCAGUGGCGAAGGCGGCCUCCUGGCUCGAUACUGACGCUGAGGUGCGAAAGCGUGGGAAUCAAACAGG